rnacentral:tRNA from 1 species
CGCGCGGAUGGAGCAACGGCGGCUCCCUGGCCUCAUAAGCCAGAGAUCAAUGGGUUCGACUCCCACCCGCGCAACCA